CUUGGUCAUUUAGAGGAAGUAAAAGUCGUAACAAGGUCUCCGUAGGUGAACCUGCGGAGGGAUCAUUACAGUGAACAUCGCCCGCAAGGGUGACUCUCCAACCCUAUGUUAAUUAUACCUUUGUUGCUUUGGCGAGCCGCUUCGGCCACCGGCUCACGCUGGUGAGCGCUCGCCAGAGGACCCUAAACUCUGUUUAUACAUGUCGUCUGAGUACUAUAUAGUAGUUAAAACUUUCAACAACGGAUCUCUUGGUUCUGGCAUCGAUGAAGAACGCAGCGAAAUGCGAUAAGUAAUGCGAAUUGCAGAAUUCAGUGAAUCAUCGAAUCUUUGAACGCACAUUGCGCCCUGUGGUAUUCCGCAGGGCAUGCCUGUUCGAGCGUCAGUACAACACUCAAGCCUAGCUUGGUCUUGGGCCUCGCCGGAAACGGCGGGCCUUAAAAGUAGUGGCGGCGCCCGCUGGGCUCUAAGCGUAGUAAUACUCCUCGCUAUAGGGACCCGGUGGAUGCUGGCCAGCAACCCCCAACUUUCUAAGCUUGACCUCGGAUCAGGUACGGAUACCCGCUGAACUUAAGCAUAUCAAUAAGCGGAGGA
rnacentral:rRNA from 1 species